rnacentral:misc_RNA from 1 species
AACUUUCAGCAAUGGAUCACUCCUCUUUGGUAAACUUUUGGCAAUGGAUCACUUGGUUCUGGCAUCGAUGAAGAACGCAGCGAAAUGCGAUAAGUAAUGUGAAUUGCAGAAUUCAGUGAAUCAUCGAAUCUUUGAACGCAUAUUGCGCCCUUUGGCAUUCCGAAGGGCAUACCUGUUCGAGCGUCAUUACACCCCUCAAACUUCGCUGUUUGAUGUUGGGCAAUGCCUGGAGGCAUGCCUAAAAUUUAGCGAUGGUACAUUAAACCUCAAGCGCACAGAUGUCGUUAUGUAGGCGAGAUGGCACCAGUCUCUUAAUGCAAUUUCUGAAUGUUGACCUCGGAUCAGGUAGGGAUACCCGCUGAACUUAAGCAUAUCAAUAAGCGGAGGCU